AUUGAACGCUGGCGGCAGGCCUAACACAUGCAAGUCGAGCGGAUGAAGGGAGCUUGCUCCUGGAUUCAGCGGCGGACGGGUGAGUAAUGCCUAGGAAUCUGCCUGGUAGUGGGGGAUAACGUCCGGAAACGGGCGCUAAUACCGCAUACGUCCUGAGGGAGAAAGUGGGGGAUCUUCGGACCUCACGCUAUCAGAUGAGCCUAGGUCGGAUUAGCUAGUUGGUGGGGUAAAGGCCUACCAAGGCGACGAUCCGUAACUGGUCUGAGAGGAUGAUCAGUCACACUGGAACUGAGACACGGUCCAGACUCCUACGGGAGGCAGCAGUGGGGAAUAUUGGACAAUGGGCGAAAGCCUGAUCCAGCCAUGCCGCGUGUGUGAAGAAGGUCUUCGGAUUGGAAAGCACUUUAAGUUGGGAGGAAGGGCAGUAAGUUAAGACCUUGCUGUUUUGACGUUACCAGCAGAAUAAGCACCGGCUAACUUCGUG
rnacentral:rRNA from 1 species